AGGCCUGCUUGGGGUCGCCAUGAAUGUUCCUUCGACGCCUCCAGCAGAGGUAGCUGUGCCACCGGUGACUGUGGUGGUUCUCUCUACUGCAAU